GGCCGGCGCCGUGGCUCACUAGGCUAAUCCUCCACCUUGCGGCGCCGGCACACCGGGUUCUAGUCCCAGUUGGGGCGCCGGAUUCUGUCCCGGUUGCCCCUCUUCCAGGCCAGCUCUCUGCUAUGGCCAGGGAGUGCAGUGGAGGAUGGCCCAGGUGCUUGGGCCCUGCACCCCGUGGGAGACCAGGAAAAGCACCUGGAUCCUGGCUCCUGCCAUCGGAUCAGCGCGGUGCGCCGGCUGCAGCGGCGGCCAUUGGAGGGUGAACCAACGGCAAAAGGAAGACCUUUCUCUCUCUGUCUCUCUCUCUCACUGUCCACUCUGCCUGUCAAAAAAAAAAAAAAAAAAAGAGUUAAACAAAGAGGGGGAGAGACAAGGUCUUCCUUAGGCUGGCCACUCCACAAAGGGCCACAGUGGCCAGGACUGGGCCAGGCUGAAGCCAGGAGCCAGGAGCUUCUGCUGUGUCUCCCAUGGGUGCAGGGGCCCAAGCACUUGUGCCAUCUUCACUUCUCUCCCAGGCGCAUCAGAAGUGGAGCAGCCAUGACAUGAACUGGCAUCCAGAUAGCUUGACCUGCUGUGGCACACAGUAGCUCACUAAAAUAAAGGUAUUUCCUGUUACUACUUUUUUUAAAUUUUUUUUGACAGGCAAAGUGGACAGUGAGAGAGAGACAGAGAGAAAGGUCUUCCUUUGCCGUUGGUUCACCCUCCAAUGGCCGCCGCUGCUGGCACGUUGAUCCGAUGGCAGGAGUCAGGUACUUAUCCUGGUCUCCCAUGGGGUGCAGGGCCCAAGCACUUGGGCCAUCCUCCACUGCACUCCCUGGCCACAGCAGAGAGCUGGGCUGGAAGAGGGGCAACCGGGACAGAAUCCAGCGCCCCCACCGGGACUAGAACCUGGUGUGCCGGCGCCACAAGGUGGAGGAUUAGCCUAGUGAGCCGCGGUGCUGGCCGCCUGUUACUAUUUUUAUACCAUUCCACUGCUAACAGAUGUGUCACGUGUUGGAAAACACUGUGCUAUAUGAUUAUAAAUUCAGAUUUUCAUAGAUGAGGUUUUCUUAAAGCACCAUUUAAAUGCAUGAUAACUUAAGUGAGGGCAGAACUUGAUUGUUUUGUACACCCUUGUUUCUGCAGAACUUGGUUCUUUGUCCAUGUGGAUAUUCAGUAAAUAUUAACUAGCAUGCUAAUGAAUGAAGUAUAUACUUCCAUUCAUCCUCUUUUACUACCCAGUAGUAGUUAAAUACUAAGUUAAUGCUCCAAUUCUAUAAAGAUUGAUGUAUUUAUUUGUUAGAGUCACAGAGACAGGAGGAGAGCCAGAGAGAUCAUCCAUCCACUGGUUCACUUUCCAGGUGGUCACAAUGGCCAGGGCUGAGCCAAGUUAGUGCCAGGAACCAAGAGUUUGAUCCAGGUCUCCCACAUGGGUGGUGAUGGCCCAAGCCCUUGAGCCAUCUUCUGCUUCUUGUCCUAGGCCAAGGCAGGAAGAUGGAUCAGAAGUGGAGCAGCUAGGACACAAACCAGUGCCCAUACAGGAUGCCAGCAUCACAGGUGGCAGCAUUAUCUGCUAUGCCGCAGUGCUGGUCCCUUUCACUGUCUGUAAAAUGCAUUUCAGUAGGUGUAUGUGGUAUCCGCAGUCUUCAGAACACUAAGUAAUGUAGUGCAUAUCAUUUGUAUUAAAGAGUAAAUAGAGAUGGGUACUAGGCAGUGCAGAUAGGAACAGUCCUGAUGACUGGAAAAUGAGUGAGAAGAGAAAAAUAUGAAAGUAGCAAUCGAAAUACCUGUCUAUGCCAUGAGACUGAAGUGGUCCUGGAACUGUGUGUCUACACCGUGGGGACCAAGCUGGUCCUGGACCUAUGUGUCUACGCCGUGGGGACCGAGGUGGUCCUGGAUCUGUGUGUCUGUGCCAUGGGGACCAAGCUGGUCCUGGAACUGUGUGUCUAUGCCGUGGGGACUGAGCUGGUCCUGGAACUGUGUGUAUAUGCCAUGAUGACCGAGGUGGUCCUGGAUCUGUGUGUCUAUGCCAUGGGGUCUGAGGUGGUCCUGGAACUGUGUCUAUGCCAUGGGGACCAAGGUGGUCCUGGAACUGUGUGUCUAUGCCAUGGGGUCCAAGGUGGUCCUGGAACUGUGUGUCUAUGCCAUGGGGACCAAGGUUCCUGGAACUGUGUGUCUAUGCCAUGGGGACCAAGCUGGUCCUGGAACUGUGUGUCUGUGCCAUGAUGACCGAGGUGGUCCUAGAACUGUGUGUCUAUGCCAUGGGGACCGAGCUGGUCCUGGAACUGUGUGUCUAUGCCAUGGGGACCGAGGUGGUCCUGGAACUGUGUGUCUAUGCCAUGGGGACUGGGACAACCCUGUAGUACAUCAUGGAGACUGAGAUAGCCCUGCAAGGGUAUAGUGAUCCCAUGGGGCCUGAGAUAGCCCUACAUGUACCACAGGAAAUAAGGCAGCACUGCACUAUGCAUCUUCUGUAAGGAUCAGUGAUAGCCCCACACUGUACCAUGGGGUCAGUUAGCCCCACACUGUACCAUGGGUCAGAUAGCCCCACACUGUACCAUGGGUCAGAUAGCCCCACACUGUACCAUGGGGUCAGAUAGCUCCAAACUGUACCAUGGGGAUAGAUAGCCCCACACUGUACCAUGGGUCAGAUAGCCCCACACUGUACCAUGGGUCAGAUAGCCCCACACUGUACCAUGGGGUCAGAUAGCCCCACACUGUACCAUGGGGACAGAUAGCCCCACACUGUACCAUGGGGACAGAUAGCCCCACACUGUACCAUGGGUCAGAUAGCCCCACACUGUACCAUGGGGACAGACAGCCCCACACUGUACGAUGGGUCAGAUAACCCCACACUGUACCAUGGGGACAGAUAGCUCCACACUGUACGAUGGGGUCAGAUAGCCCCACACUGUACCAUGGGGACAGACACCCCUACAUUGUACCAUGGGAUCAGAUAGUUCCACACUGUACCAUGGCUCAGAUAGCCCCACACUGUACCAUGGGUCAGAUAGCUCCACACUGUACGAUGGGUCAGAUAACCCCACACUGUACCAUGGGGACAGAUAGCUCCACACUGUACCAUGGGGACAGACAGCCCCACACUGUACCAUGGGUCAGAUAGCCCCACACUGUACCAUGGCUCAAUAGCCCCACACUGUACCAUGGGACAGAUAGCCCCACACUGUACCAUGGGUCAGAUAGCCCCACACUGUACCAUGGGGUCAGUUAGCCCCACUCUGUACCAUGGGUCAGAUAGCCCCACACUGUACCAUGGGUCAGAUAGCCCCACACUGUACCAUGGGGUCAGUUAGCCCCACUCUGUACCAUGGGGACAGAUAGCCCCACACUGUACCAUGGGUCAGAUAGCUCCACACUGUACCGUUGGGACAGACAGCCCUCAAAUGAACAUCUGUACCAUGGACACUGAGAUAACCCUGCAGACAUAAGGAAUGAGAGAAGCAUACACACACAUACAUGUUUUAUGUGCAUACUCCCUGUGAGGACUGAGAUCGCUCUAUGACUAUACCAUGUGGACUGAGUUGACCCUACGGUUGUGUUGAGGUAGGAAGAAAGGACUAAACUGAGGGCUGAACACUUCUGGAGAUGCAGAAGCAGUGAAGAAAGCCCGUUCCAUUAAUAGUUACUUCCGAAUCACCCAUCCCCGUGAUCACGUUUUUCUAAAAUGAGAGUUUCUGAACGUGCCCACAUGGCCAUUUUUCCAUAAAACUCAAAUCUAAUGCUUAAAUCCUAACCUGUUUUCUUUUGUUCAUGCAUUUAGGAAAUGACAUAAUCAAUUUUCUGCAUCAUUUGGGUUAGAAGAAAAGAUGUAUAAAGCUGAAAUGAGCGUAGCGUUCUGGGCCCAUUCAUUAUCAGUGGUUCCUCAGUUAGGAGGGCCCCUGAGGCUCAGACGGGCUUUUUCACCAAACCUGUGUGGCCUCAGUCAGUGGAAGCAGCCCACACCGGCUGUGUGCCGAGCAGGCAGCGGCUAGCUGAUGGGCCACUAGCAAUUACUUUGACAGCAGGAAUUGCCAACGGCAGUAACUGGCUUCAGAAGAAGCCAAACAGACCCCUUUGUAGCCCAUAAAUAAUGGUAAAUAUUGCAGAGAUAUACAAUACUUAUUUUUUGCCUGUUACCUACGUGUCUAAGAGAACGGUCUGCAUACUAGUGAAGGAAUUCCGCACUAAUCAAGAAGUAAACGUGUGAUGGCUUAUCUUUUGAUUUUCAAAACUUACCUAUACAUUUACCAUUAAUAUUUCUCUUUGAAAAUUGAACAUUAGACAAGUGGAAAGUCUAAAAGAAAAUGUUAGGAAGAUAUGCUUCCACAAGUUUGGAGUUAGAGGAGUGUGAAGUAGGAAGUAGACCUGCCAACUGGAGUGGACUCCCGAGGGUGGGCGCUCGCAGAGGCAGCUGGCCCUGUUCCGUGUCCGACGCCCUGUGCCCGGCCCCUGCGGCAGGGCAGGAACAUAGCAGCAGGCUCCGCCCUGCCUCCACGCGGGCCAGCACCACAUGGGGUCCCUGGGGGUAUAUUUUGCGGCUUCAGUGGUGGGUUGCCAUUGGAUCAUUUAUAGGGGUCUCCACCAGCCCACAGGACCCAGACCAGGAGGUAACGAAAAGAAAGGGGCUCUUUAUAUGGCCACUGGGAUUACUCUUCUCUGUCUGAGCAAAGGGAGGGACUUGGACUGGGUCAGCUGCUCCCAGCAUUCAGCAGACGAAACCAGGAGAAUAAAGUCCCCCGCACGUGGGACUGGUGGUGACCUCCGAGGGGACGUCUGGGUCACGCCCAGAGGUCUCUCUGCCAUGUUUCCCCGAUUUCGGCCUGGCUGUGCUUGCGUGAAGAAGCACGCAGCCAGAAGUCAGGCAGCUGGGAUGGUUAGGUGUCUUUGGGUAAAUCCCAUAAUUGCCUGUCGCCUCAGAUUUUCCUGUGUUUGGCACACUCCUGCCUGAUGUUUUGCAGAGUUUAAUGCAUGUAUGUGAAGCAGUACAGUAUAUGUGAAAUAAAUAUGUAAAUGGUUGUAUGAAGUAAGCACCUGUGAACCGUGUAGGGUGAAUGUCCUGUGUUGCCGACAGCCGGUUGGUGCACACCUGCUGCUGACCCAGGUACUGGACACGGGUGGGGCACAAGCAGGGCUGCUGCUGACCCAGGUACUGGACACGGGUGGGGCACAAGCAGGGCUGGGGGUAGUUUCGCUGAUCCCAGGAGGCUCUAGGCCGCAGAGGCCGAUUCCUGGCUCAGGUGACAUGUCCGUCCCAGGGUGCCAUCCUCCCUCAGAACUCCCCCUCGUCCUCAGAGCCUCUGAAGACUGUGGUGGGGAGGGCACCCUGGGAGUCACCAUGCUCCGUAACAGCUGUGUCUAGGAGUGACACACACCUCUCCCACUGGCAUAAGGCAGUAACAGGGCCACACCUAGCACGAGGGACCUGGAGAGCUGCAGUCCUACUAGGAGUCCAGAAGAGUCUGGAAUAUUUGAUGGGCAGCACUGGUGACCGUCACAGAUAGUUCUAUGUUCUACAGCUGGAUGACUUGCAGGAGAGAAGCCUUCAGGGUGGCGCUAACAUCUGCUACCGACACUACCCCAUUCUUUCUGCACAGCGUUUGCUAACCACGUGACUUUCUCGAUUUCCCAGUUUUAAGGAUUUGGUGGCAUUAAAAAGUGCAAUAGCCCUACUGCGGACUACCCUGAAAAGCAGCACUACUAUAAAAUCUCACUUCUGUUUGC